rnacentral:rRNA from 1 species
GAAUAUUGCACAAUGGGCGCAAGCCUGAUGCAGCCAUGCCGCGUGUGUGAAGAAGGCCUUCGGGUUGUAAAGCACUUUCAGCGGGGAGGAAGGCGGUGAGGUUAAUAACCUCAUCGAUUGACGUUACCCGCAGAAGAAGCACCGGCUAACUCCGUGCCAGCAGCCGCGGUAAUACGGAGGGUGCAAGCGUUAAUCGGAAUUACUGGGCG